GUUAGUUAUGAAUAAAGAAGAGAAAUUGAUCAAAUUAGACACUAUAAUGAAGUUGCAACACUUCCAUCAUGAAGUUGCAACGCUCCGACGUCAGGUGGCGUACGAGCAGAGCGGAGUGAAGUCGGGAGUCACUACGGAGCCGUCGUGUCGAGCGGACGUGUACUGCCGUUCUAGUCGGGCAGUCUACCGCGAACCUUCGUCGUGAACGGACGUGUCGAAUAAUUACGAUCGGAACGUGGAGUGCUAUAGUCGCUCACCUAUAACUUGUAGGGACGUCAAGAAAGUGUGAUCAGAAAAGAGCACGUGUCCCGAUGAUUCGGUCCGAAUAUAGGAACCAUGGGUGGUGGAGGGCAAGUAGAGGGCGAGUAGCCCCUUCGCGCUAACGUCCUUAUGCGCGCUAGAUAACGAGAGACUGUGUAACCAUUACGAAUACCGUGACGUUGCCGUGAGUGUGUAUCUUAUUCUGUGACUUUAUCUAAUCGUGAUACAAGAACUAUGUGGAAGUAAAUAAAAUGAUUGUGAUACUAUUGACGGCCAUUAUUGUCUUCUAACGCCCACCCUCUAUUCUGAUGAUGAUGUUACGACCGACGACACCCCCACUUUUACGACAUCAGAAGCGGGAUUAGUGGACUUGGAUGAAGACAACGUGAUGUGACGUUCACAACAAGACAAUGCAAGUUUCGAUUAUCACAAUCAGAAGAAGAUUAUGAUGAUUAUCACAUUCGUGUGACCACGUGAUGAAGAUGUAGUGUCAUGCCUGAAUUUGGAGAUGGACCUGAAUUUGAAGUGACCUGGACCUUGUUAAUGAUCGACAUCACUACAUGCCGUAAGAUAUGAUGGCGUGAACAUCACAAUAUGUCCAUACUGUGUGCAGUCGUGUUUGAAAAUUAUGGAACCUGAAAUUGAAAACUGUUAUUACGGUGAGUCGUUUUCAUACUGGAACCUUAUUGUUGUUGACUUUAUUGCUAUGUGAAUUUCCGUUUCUAAUAAUGAGGAAAUUGUUUUUUAAAAAAAAACAAAAUUGACGAGACAUAUUGUGUCAAUCCGUGUCAAUCAUACCGCGUUUUCCAAUCUGUUUUCAUCAUUGUCAAAUCUUUGUAUUUUGGUCUAAAAAUAUUUCGAAUUGGUGUAGACACGCUUAACCCGCGUGAUCAAAGUUGUAUUUUCUCACUCCAAGCAAAAAGAAAUUAAUCAUGACACGAUAAUUAAGUCUCGUUAAAUAACGUGUUUUGUAAUCUACCGUCGUUCAUCGAAUCUUUUUAAACCAAUUGAAAGAAAGUCAUGUGAAUACGAUAAUACAGUGAAUUCUUUUGUUUCAUGUCAUAAUUUGUCACGUGGUUCGGCAACUGGUGGAUUGCAAGCGGCGAUGCAAGUGGCGCGGGCUGAGCUGUAGCCGUGUAAAGUGAUGACAUCACGGCAGCGCAUUGUAUAACAACGGGACUUGUGGAAGACCUAAACCAUGUCACAAGACCAGUGGUUGAUCUUUUAUUGGAAAUUCUUAUAAGUCCUGGUGAGUCGUAUCUGUUUUACCUGAUUUGAAAGAUGGAAAGUUUUAAUAGGAUACAAACGAAUAUAGUGCAGAAAGUUGUCUUUUGUUAACUUUAGUUAAAUUGGAAAUCGUAAUGAAGUGAAGUAAACAUUGCGAAGUAAAAUGAUUUGGAUUAUGAUUAAAUGAAAUAGGCUAGGAAAAUGCCCGAAACAGAGUAAAUCAUUAGUGAGAAAAUUGGAGCAAAACAUUCUAAAUGAUGAUCAUACCGAAUUGGUAAUUGUGUAAAUGCGGAAAUAUUUCUUCGAGGUGUUGGUCGCUACAUCGUGACUUUAUGACUUGUGUGUGUGUGUGAGAGAGCCAGGGUGCUCUGUCGUUUUGUGGUCGUGGACCAUGGUGGCCAUCUCGGGAGGGGAUGUUGUGACUCAUGACUGUUUUGUAGCGUAACCGCAGUUUGGGGAGGAAUAUUACAGCCUGUUGUGCUUUGCAGUAGAUGUGUAAUGUUGGUUGAUUUAAUUGAGCAAUGAAAGCUAUGAUUGACCUGUUUCGGAGCAACUCUGAUAGGAAGCUGCGCACUUGUAGUGUUCGGGGCUGCAGCCACUUUUGUGCUGCUCGUCUUAGAAACUACAGGUAUGCGGUCGAGGCCUGGAUGUCAUGUUGACUUUGUAUUUGGUCAUGACAUUGUACCUGAAUCUAAGUCAAGUUGACCUCCGGUAGAAUUAGUCGAACUGCGCAAAUUAGAAAUUAGUGAUAUAAAAGAAAUUGUGUAACGCAUUGACCACUAUUCUACCAACUAAAAUGUAAAGUUUGUGUGCUAGCUGUGUUGAGAUAUCGUCACUUGGUGUAAGUGGCAUGAGUUGCUGUCGCUCGAUUUAGGUGGCAGUGACGACUGUGUUGAGAUAUCGUCACUUGGUGUAAGUGGCAUGAGUUGCUGUCGCUCGAUAUAGGUGGCAGCAACGACUGUGUUGAGAUAUCGUCACUUGGUGUAAGUGGCAUGAGUUGCUGUCGCUCGAUUUAGGUGGCAGCAACGACUGUGUUGAGAUAUCGUCACUUGGUGUAAGUGGCAUGAGUUGCUACCGCUCGAUUUAGGUGGUAGUGACGCCUGGUUGUGAGAUAUCGUCACUCAGUAGAGUGGCAUGAGUUGCUACCGCUCGAUUUAGGUGGUAGUGACGCCUGGUUUUGAGAUAUCGUCGCUCAGUAGAGUGGCAUGAGUUACUAUCGCUCGUUUAGGUGAUAGUAACGACAGACGUGUAAAGAGUAAUUGGAUUUUCAAGUUUGGUUGUUUAUAGUGUGUGAAUACUGGUCAAUGGUCCGUUUACCGUGUCGGAGUAGUUGAUUUAUCAUGAUGUAAUGUGAACUCGUGUAGAGUCACGAGUAGAGCUCAUGUAGAGUCACGAGUAGAGCUCGUGUAGAGUCACGAGUAGAGCUCGUGUAGAGUCACGAGUAGAGCUCGUGUAGAGUCACGAGUAGAGCUCAUGUAGAGUCACAAGUAGAGCUCAUGUAGAGUCACAAGUAGAGCUCAUGUAGAGUCACAAGUAGAGCUCAUGUAGAGUCUCAUGUUAGGUCAGGAAUGACCGAGCGAACUUGGAUACUGUGCUGUGGUAUGUUGUUUCAGAUUCACACACGAGGACGUGUGUCGCGCAGGAUGGCCGUGUCGGAGUUAGUUAUGAAUAAAGAAGAGAAAUUGAUCAAAUUAGACACUAUAAUGAAGUUGCAACACUUCCAUCAUGAAGUUGCAACGCUCCGACGUCAGGUGGCGUACGAGCAGAGCGGAGUGAAGUCGGGAGUCACUACGGAGCCGUCGUGUCGAGCGGACGUGUACUGCCGUUCUAGUCGGGCAGUCUACCGCGAACCUUCGUCGUGAACGGACGUGUCGAAUAAUUACGAUCGGAACGUGGAGUGCUAUAGUCGCUCACCUAUAACUUGUAGGGACGUCAAGAAAGUGUGAUCAGAAAAGAGCACGUGUCCCGAUGAUUCGGUCCGAAUAUAGGAACCAUGGGUGGUGGAGGGCAAGUAGAGGGCGAGUAGCCCCUUCGCGCUAACGUCCUUAUGCGCGCUAGAUAACGAGAGACUGUGUAACCAUUACGAAUACCGUGACGUUGCCGUGAGUGUGUAUCUUAUUCUGUGACUUUAUCUAAUCGUGAUACAAGAACUAUGUGGAAGUAAAUAAAAUGAUUGUGAUACUA
rnacentral:lncRNA from 1 species